rnacentral:rRNA from 1 species
GACGUAGGGGACGAGCGUUGUCCGGAUUCAUUGGGCGUAAAGCGCGCGUAGGCGGUUUGGUAAGUCGGAUGUGAAAACCAGGGCUCAACCCUGGGAUGCCGACCGAUACUGUCGGACUAGAGUUCGGAAGAGGCGAGUGGAAUUCCCGGUGUAGCGGGGAAAUGCGCAGAUAUCGGGAGGAACACCAACGGCGAAGGCAGCACUCUGGGCUGGAACGGACGCUGAGGAGCGAAAGCGUGGGUAGCAAACAGG